GAUGAACGCUGGCGGCGUGCCUAAUACAUGCAAGUCGAGCGAACGGACGAGAAGCUUGCUUCUCUGAUGUUAGCGGCGGACGGGUGAGUAACACGUGGAUAACCUACCUAUACGACUGGGAUAACUUCGGGAAACCGGAGCUAAUAACGGCUAAUAUUUUGAACCGCAUGGUUCAAAAGUGAAAGACGGUCUUGCUGUCACUUAUAGAUGGAUCCGAGCUGCAUUAGCUAGUUGGUAAGGUAACGGCUUACCAAGGCAACGAUGCAUAGCCGACCUGAGAGGGUGAUCGGCCAGACUGGAACUGAGACACGGUCCAGACUCCUACGGGAGGCAGCAGUAGGGAAUCUUCCGCAAUGGGCGAAAGCCUGACGGAGCAACGCCGCGUGAGUGAUGAAGGUCUGCGGAUCGGAAAACUCUGUUAUUAGGGAAGAACAUAUGUGUAAGUAACUGUGCACAUCUUGACGGUACCUAAUCAGAAAGCCACGGCUAACUACGUG
rnacentral:rRNA from 1 species